rnacentral:rRNA from 1 species
GAUGAACGCUGGCGGCGUGCCUAAUACAUGCAAGUCGAGCGAACGGACGAGAAGCUUGCUUCUCUGAUGUUAGCGGCGGACGGGUGAGUAACACGUGGAUAACCUACCUAUAAGACUGGGAUAACUUCGGGAAACCGGAGCUAAUACCGGAUAAUAUUUUGAACCGCAUUGUUCAAAAGUGAAAGACGGUCUUGCUGUCACUUAUAGAUGGAUCCGCGCUGCAUUAGCUAGUUGGGAAGGUAACGGCUUACCAAGGCAACGAUGCAUAGCCGACCUGAGAGGGUGAUCGGCCACACUGGAACUGAGACACGGUCCAGACUCCUACGGGAGGCAGCAGUAGGGAAUCUUCCGCAAUGGGCGAGAGCCUGACGGAGCAACGCCGCGUGAGUGAUGAAGGUCUUCGGAUCGUAAAGCUCUGUUAUUAGGGAAGAACAUAUGUGUAAGUAACUGUGCACAUCUUGACGGUACCUAAUCAGAAAGCCACGGCUAACUACGUG